CCAGAACAUGCAUACUUUUUUACUACACACUCAAAGGUUUAUACUUUGCGGAGACGUUUAGGUGGCAUUUGUGGAAGGAGUCUCCAGUGUCGGCACUUUGUAACAGUUAAAGGCUCCUGUGGAGGCAGCCAGAGGAGAGAGACGUCCUUUCUGUCCGUUCCAGAAGACCAGUGCUGAUGAUCAGCCUCGAGGCACACCUGAACACAGCUGUCAAAAGUUCCUCAGCAGUGUUAUUGCAGUGCUGGUUCAGCAGCUAAGGUUUUGUGCUACUGAUCAGAAGGUCAUUAGUUCAAGCUCCAGCACUGCCAAGCUGCUACUGUUGGGCUUUUGAGUGAGACCCUUGGCCUUCUCUGCUCCAGCGGCGCUGUAUCGCUGACCCCAGCUUCCUAACAAGCUAGGAUAUGUGCAGAAAAGAAUUGCACGCUACUGUACAUGUAUACGUGACAAUAAAGGCUUUCUUUGAAAUCUUCCAAAAGACCUGUACAUUCAAUUGAUUUUGGAAUAAUCUGAUGUUAGAAUUAAUGUGACACCCUGAUCUUUAUUAGGGAUUUAGCAGAAGCCUUCAUGCUUAUUUAACUGGAUAUUAAACUUGAAGCCCACUAAUAGUCAUUGGGGUGGACAAUGUGACAAUAUAAUAUCGACAUUGAAGGAAAAAGAUAUUGAGAUAUCUUUUUGUGUGGUUGUUUUUAAAAAUUUAAUUACAAGCAGACUGGAAGCAACUGAUUUGAUGUUAAAAUUUUGUACUUGAUCUUUAAAAAAUUGUAAC